rnacentral:misc_RNA from 1 species
GGGAGGCCCUGCAAGGUUGAUAAACUAGCAACAUGGGACGCAAGGCUGGGAACUUGUACAUAAACCCAAAGAAGUUCGGUAGUGCUGCUGGGAAGCCUUGCAUGAAGGAGAUGAUGAGUUUUCUUGGUUGUUUGGCAUUGAACAGGAACAGCGAGGACAAAUGUACGAAACAGAAGGAUCUCUUGAUUUCCUGUGCAGCAGCUCAGAAGGGGAAACCGAAAAAUCCAGGAAGGACCAUCAAUUAUCA